GUCCCCGGCGGGCGCGAUAUUUCCUCGACGAACCGGGAGGUCAGGAGGAGGGGCGGAGGUAAAGCGGGUGAGGCUGGAAGCAGGUGUGUGUAAGGUGGUCGGUGGUGGGCGGCUUUUUCGGGGUUAGGGUCGUUUGGUGUUUGUGAGUGCACUCAAGCUCGCUCCAUUCGUAUCUAGGCUCGCUCAAGAACGCAGCGGUUCCAUUCCAAGAGGCUCAGAGUUCGGGAGAAGGAGGGCGGGGGGAUAAGCAGAGGAACAAGUGGGCCGUCCGUCGCUCCAGAGGUCCUGCAAAAUCUAGGGCCCCGAGGUCUAGACAAGAAAAAAGAAGAGAAAAUCAACAUCAUUAGCCGGUCCGCUCCAAGAAAAAGGUGUGGAGGAACGAGCAACACAGAUCUAGAUGGUGGUUGCGGUAGAGAAAAACGGCACCGACAACUGGAACAACUAAAAGAGACGGACAAGAUCCAAAACCAAACCUUUGGUCCGUCUAAAGAAAGAACAAGUAGAAAGAUUCUUUUGUUUUUAGGGGUUUUUUUUCAAGCAGGAUCAAGGAAUCUACCGACGUCGAUAUCUAGACAGGCCCCUCCUAGACCACUCUCGUGAGCUCGGAAAAUAGGCUCUUCGGAGACGGGGGGAAGGUGAGGUGAGGGUAGAAUCAGGGUGGAGCGGUAAGAGGAAGGGGGUGCGGCGGAUGUCACCCAUGGGCAUGCCCCACGUCCGUGUCCGGGUCUGGCUCGAGUCGGGCCGGGUCUACGUGAUGUAGGUCCGUGCGGAGGUGGAGGUCGCGGUCUGACCGGUCGGCCCGGUCGAGCCUGGCGCCAGGGUCGGGUACUUCGGGCGAAGCCACCGUCGCCGCUGGGGCGGCGCCGGCGUCUUCGAGAUGGCACCGCACGCCGUCGCGGUGACCCCGUUCACCCACCGCCUCUAGGCAGAGGGGGCGUUGGCGUGGGCGGAGACCGAGCCGUGGAAGCUGUGGCGGCUCCUCCGCCGGGAGCGGAUGCUGGUCCGGCGGAUGGCGGAGGCGCCGCUACGUCGAGCGGAGUUGAAGGGGCUGUUGCGGCGGAGAGCGCCGGGCGAGGUACGGAGGCAACUGCGGUUCGAGGUCUGGGAGACGGUCUUGUAGUGGCGGAGGUUCUUGCGGUUCUUCAGGCGGAGACAGAGGCGCAGGUGGCGGCGUCGGUGCAGCAGGUGGGGGUGGUCGUUGACGAGGAGCGGAAGGAGGCUGCUCCGCAGUAGGAGCGACCUCAGACGCCUCAGCAGUGGCAGUGGGCGGCGGUGGUGGCGUCGUCUACAAGGUCUCUACGUCGUCGAGCUGAAGUCGCUCCGCGGUACCCUGCUCCGUCGGACGAAGCGGGAGUGGUUCAUGGGCAGCAUACUCUAGCUGACCCUAAGCGAAGAGCGGUGGUUAAUCGUGGGUCAAACACAGGCAGUCGAUGAUAAUGAUGGCAGAAAUCGCACAGUACUACGAUCCAAUUACCAGCGGAGCUACGUCUACCGUAAAAUCUGUAAGACGUGCCCGAAAAUCGCCUAAUCGAGAUUCAGAGAUUAGGAACAAGUAACACAUCUAGAUAAUAAACAAGAGAACACCAUCCCAAACCAAUCAGGCAGGGCCUACUGAUAUUCGGCCGCAAAAACACGGGCCGCAGAGGCCACCAGCCAGUGACCAGUCACUGAGGCCGGCCACUUCAGACACAGGUACCAAGAUCGAUCAACGACAAGGAAGGCGACGAGACGUCUAACAUUGUCACCCUCAGACAGUACAUAUUAAUAGAGCAGUUUUUAGGACAUUACACCUUAUAAUAAAACAACAAUUACAAGCAAAACAGAACAUUUGAGUACUUUCCGUAGCAAAAAAAAGAACAUUUUAAGAACUUUACAGUCUAACGCUUUACCUUGAUCCAUCACUUGCACUG
rnacentral:rRNA from 1 species